rnacentral:rRNA from 1 species
UACGAAGGGGGCUAGCGUUGCUCGGAAUCACUGGGCGUAAAGCGCACGUAGGCGGCUUGUUAAGUCAGGGGUGAAAUCCUGGAGCUCAACUCCAGAACUGCCUUUGAUACUGGCGAGCUUGAGUUCGGGAGAGGUGAGUGGAACUGCGAGUGUAGAGGUGAAAUUCGUAGAUAUUCGGAGGAACACCAGUGGCGAAGGCGGCUCACUGGCCCGGUACUGACGCUCAUGUGCGAAAGCGUGGGGAGCAAACAGG